rnacentral:rRNA from 1 species
UACGAAGGGGGCUAGCGUUGCUCGGAAUCACUGGGCGUAAAGGGCGCGUAGGCGGCCAUUCAAGUCGGGGGUGAAAGCCUGUGGCUCAACCACAGAAUUGCCUUCGAUACUGUUUGGCUUGAGACCGGAAGAGGUUAGUGGAACUGCGAGUGUAGAGGUGAAAUUCGUAGAUAUUCGCAAGAACACCAGUGGCGAAGGCGGACUAACUGGUCCGGUUCUGACGCUGAGGCGCGAAAGCGUGGGGAGCGAACAGG